CUAGAGCUAAUACAUGCUAAAAAUCCCGACUUCGGAAGGGAUGUAUUUAUUAGAUUAAAAGCCAAUGCCCUCUGGGCUCACUGGUGAUUCAUAAUAACUUGUCGAAUCGCAUGGCCUUGCGCCGGCGAUGGUUCAUUCAAAUUUCUGCCCUAUCAACUUUCGACGGCUGGGUCUUGGCCAGCCAUGGUGACAACGGGUAACGGAGGGUUAGGGCUCGACCCCGGAGAAGGAGCCUGAGAAACGGCUACUACAUCCAAGGAAGGCAGCAGGCGCGCAAAUUACCCAAUCCCAACUCGGGGAGGUAGUGACAAUAAAUACUGAUACAGGGCUCUUUUGGGUCUUGUAAUUGGAAUGAGUACAAUUUAAAUCCCUUAACGAGGAACAAUUGGAGGGCAAGUCUGGUGCCAGCAGCCGCGGUAAUUCCAGCUCCAAUAGCGUAUAUUAAAGUUGUUGCGGUUAAAAAGCUCGUAGUUGAACCUUGGGCCUGGCUGGCCGGUCCGCCUCACCGCGUGCACUGGUUCGGUCGGGCCUUUCCCUCUGGGGAACCGCAUGUCCUUCACUGGGCGUGCCGGGGAACCAGGACUUUUACUUUGAAAAAAUUAGAGUGUUCAAAGCAGGCCUAUGCUCGGAUACAUUAGCAUGGAAUAAUAAAAUAGGACGCGCGGUUCUAUUUUGUUGGUUUCUAGGACCGCCGUAAUGAUUAAUAGGGACAGUCGGGGGCAUCAGUAUUCAAUUGUCAGAGGUGAAAUUCUUGGAUUUAUUGAAGACUAACUACUGCGAAAGCAUUUGCCAAGGAUGUUUUCAUUAAUCAGGAACGAAAGUUAGGGGAUCGAAGACGAUCAGAUACCGUCGUAGUCUUAACCAUAAACUAUGCGAACUAGGGAUCGGACGGUGUUAUUUUUUGACCCGUUCGGCACCUUACACGAAAGUACAAGUUUCUGCGUUCCGGGGGGAGUAUGGUCGCAAGGCUGAAACUUAAAGAAAUUGACGGAAGGGCACCACCAGGAGUGGAGCCUGCGGCUUAAUUUGACUCAACACGGGGAAACUCACCAGGUCCAGACACGAUGAGGAUUGACAGAUUGAGAGCUCUUUCUUGAUUUCGUGGGUGGUGGUGCAUGGCCGUUCUUAGUUGGUGGAGUGAUUUGUCUGCCUAAUCGCGAUAACGAACGAGACCUUAACCUGCUAAAUAGCCCGUAUUGCCUUGGCAGUACGCUGGCUUCUUAGAGGGACUAUCGGCUCAAGCCGAUGGAAGUUUGAGGCAAUAACAGGUCUGUGAUGCCCUUAGAUGUUCUGGGCCGCACGGUACGUAACCGCCUAUGGACCCCUAAAGAACCCCUAAAGGACCACCCGUGCUAACUCUCUCUCAGCGCGUUACACUGACAGAGCCAGCGAGUUCUUCCUUGGCCGAAAGGCCCGGGUAAUCUUGUUAAACUCUGUCGUGCUGGGGAUAGAGCAUUGCAAUUAUUGCUCUUCAACGAGGAAUUCCUAGUAAGCGCAAGUCAUCAACUUGCGCUGAUUACGUCCCUGCCCUUUGUACACACCGCCCGUCGCUACUACCGAUUGGAUGGCUCAGUGAGGCUUUCGGACUGGCCCAGAGAGGCGGGCAACUGCCUCUCAGGGCCGGAAAGU
rnacentral:rRNA from 1 species